rnacentral:rRNA from 1 species
UAACGCGUGGAGAACCUGCCGUAUACUGGGGAUAACACUUAGAAAUAGGUGCUAAUACCGCAUAAGCGCACAGCUUCGCAUGAAGCAGUGUGGAAAACAAAAAGCUAAAGCUUUUGGUGGUAUACGAUGGAUCCGCGUCUGAUUAGCUAGUUGGCGGGGUAAAGGCCCACCAAGGCGACGAUCAGUAGCCGGCCUGAGAGGGUGAACGGCCACAUUGGGACUGAGACACGGCCCAAACUCCUACGGAAGGCAGCAG